rnacentral:rRNA from 1 species
CUACGGGCUGCUGCAGUGGGGAAUAUUGCACAAUGGGCGCAAGCCUGAUGCAGCCAUGCCGCGUGUAUGAAGAAGGCCUUCGGGUUGUAAAGUACUUUCAGCGGGGAGGAAGGGAGUAAAGUUAAUACCUUUGCUCAUUGACGUUACCCGCAGAAGAAGCACCGGCUAACUCCGUGCCAGCAGCCGCGGUAAUACGGAGGGUGCAAGCGUUAAUCGGAAUUACUGGGCGUAAAGCGCACGCAGGCGGUUUGUUAAGUCAGAUGGGAAAUCCCCGGGCUCAACCGGGGAACUGCAUCUGAUACUGGCAAGCUUGAGUCUCGUAGAGGGGGGUAGAAUUCCAGGUGUAGCGGUGAAAUGCGUAGAGAUCUGGAGGAAUACCGGUGGCGAAGGCGGCCCCCUGGACGAAGACUGACGCUCAGGUGCGAAAGCGUGGGGAGCAAACAGGAUUAGAUACCCUAGUAGUC